UACGUAGGGUGCAAGCGUUGUCCGGAUUUAUUGGGCGUAAAGAGCGUGUAGGCGGCCAGGUAGGUCUGCUGUGAAAACUCGAGGCUUAACCUCGAGCUGUCGGCGGAAACCCUCUGGCUAGAGUCCGGAAGAGGAGAAUGGAAUUCCCGGUGUAGCGGUGAAAUGCGCAGAUAUCGGGAAGAACACCCGUGGCGAAGGCGGUUCUCUGGGACGGUACUGACGCUGAGACGCGAAAGCGUGGGGAGCGAACAGG
rnacentral:rRNA from 1 species